rnacentral:pre_miRNA from 1 species
UGUUUAUGAUGAUGAUGAUGAUGACUGUGAUGAUGAUGAUGAUGAUGAUGAUCAUUAUCAUCAUCAUCGUCAUCAUCAUCAUUGUGG